AAAAGUUCUUGAGGGGGCGUGUGUGACGAAUGCUAGAUGAGGGGCUAAGGCCUAAUUGGGCUGGGGGUAUUGAAGAAUUGUUCAUCAUGUCAGAGUCUUUUUCCAGAACUUGCCAUUGACUUGUACUCAUAAUGGCAUUCAAGGAACAAUAUCAGAGGGAGUAUAACAACUCCAGAAAGCAUAGCACACAACAUAAUCUUGGUCUCAGGUAUGUAUGAUCCUCUCAAUCUACAAUAUGGUGUAAAAGCCAUGAUGCUUCGCUGAGGAGAAAUUCUUCUGUUUCCGAGCGAGGAGUGGUGUUGUCUUCCUUGGUUCCCCUCUUUGGACACAGCUUCACUCGGGAUGCAUGAAUCCAGAUGUCGUGGGAAUCUGUGAGGACAGCGGUUCUGGUUACAGCAAUCACAGUAGCAGGUGGUCCGAAAGGGUAUCCUCCUUUCUUGGUCCUGUUCAGCUGACGGAUAUACACCUUGUCACCGGGCUGGUAUGGAUGAGUAGGUUCCUGUGAAGGUAAGGGAAACUGCGAAGAAACAUUGCCAUAUAUACCAUUCAGUUUCAUCAACAAUUCCUGUACAUAUUGUUCUUGUAUUAGCUGUAAAUCCCCAGACAUUAUAACAAGCGGUUCCCUGGCCCAGGGUGUGGGAAAAGGUCGUCCCAUCAGAAUCUCAAAUGGAGAUAAUUUAGUCACCUUGUGGGGAGUCAUUCUUAUCUCAGCUAAAAUAGCUGGUAGAUAUUUUGUCCAAUUUACC